UCCUAACGAGUAGGAUCAGUAGCAUAGGAUUUAGCGGUUAUAGUACGAAAACCGGUCAUUGUAUUCGCCUGUAAUCCUGAAUAUUUAAGUUUACAGUUGGCGAGGAAGUGAAAUGUAAACAACUGUGAUAUUGGUGUUGUGUUUUGUUGAACUGUGAAUAUUCUAUAAGGGCGACAUUAGUGGCAUCAGUAGCGCAGUGAGUGUAUAAGGUGUAUAAGUAUGGCGGAGAACAUAUCCGAAGCACGUAAACCGAAUGAUGCAGGUAUUCGUUUUGGCAGUAAAAUCAAUGGUGUAGAAGGCAAAACUCCAUUUCUGAUUGGAGUUGCUGGUGGCACAGCUAGUGGAAAGUCUACAGUUUGUAAACGUAUUAUGGAGAAAUUGGGACAAGUGGACAUGGACACCACAGAAAGGCAGGUUGUGUGCAUCAGCCAGGAUAGCUUUUAUAGAGAGCUCACUCCUGCAGAAAAAUUGAGGGCAGAAAAAGGAUUCUUUAAUUUUGAUCAUCCAGGUGCUUUCAACAAUGAUCUGAUACUGCAGACUCUUCGUGACAUACUGGCUGGAAAGAAAUGUGAAAUACCUGUGUAUGACUACAGGACAAAUUCGAGGUGUGAUAAUCAGUUCACGACAAUAUAUCCAGCAGAUGUUGUGUUGUUUGAAGGAAUUUUGGUAUUUUAUUUUCCCGAGAUUCGGGAAUUGUUUCAUAUGAAGCUCUUUGUUGAUACUGAUUCUGACACAAGAUUAGCACGUAGAGUUCCAAGAGACAUAAAAGAAAGAGGCAGAGACUUGGAUCAAGUGUUGAAUCAGUAUAUGUACUUUGUGAAGCCUGCGUUUGAAGAGUUCUGCUCACCGACAAAGAAAUAUGCAGAUGUUAUAAUUCCUCGUGGAGCAGACAACACUGUUGCGAUUGAUCUCAUUGUUCAGCACAUUCGUGAUUUUUUGAAUAACCGGGUGAAAGUGGAUGAACUCUCAGUUCCUCCAUCGCCUUCUCCAUCGCCUGUUCAUGGCUCACGGCGACUCAACACAGCUGAUGGUCAUUUCACACGCCCACACUAACCAUCUUAGUGUAGUAUUUGGAAGUCAGCUGCUGUACUGUGUUAUAAGAUGCCCAGAUACUUCUUUCAUACGGGCCAUCAGUAGAAACAAUUUUAAUGCACAUAGAUGAAGUGUCAGAGAUGAAAUCACGUGCUUCUGAGCUGUUGUGUAUAUAAUGCUAUUUGUAAAAUUACAUCAGGUUCUUAUUAUUAAUUAAUAGAUUCAGGAGUGUUGUUCAUACAUGUGGCUUACAGUUUCCAUGGUUUGUGUUCCAGUCAAGUUUUAAACAUAAUUAUGGUAAUUUACGAUUUUUAAACACGAGAAUAUUGGGGAUAUUAUAUAUUCUUGAUUUUGAAACUCAGAUUCAAUUUUUGUGUGUCUAAAACUGUUUCAGAAAAUUAUGAAUGUAUUUUAUCCAAGGAAGGCAUGCCGCAGAUUUUGUGCAGAAUUUGUAAGAUGUCCUAUUUGGAAGUAGAAUGUGUUUUACUGAGAGUAAGCUAGCAAUAAUGAAAGUAGUUCUUGGGUUAUUCCUGAAUGUCAUAAGACAUUCUAUUUGAAUAUUAACAGUAAUUUUAAAGCUGUGAAAUAAUAAAUUGUAUUGAAAAAGCUCUGCCAAAUGCCAUUUAAAAGCACCUUCAUUGUGAUUUAAAGUUGAGGGUGUAAUUAUUAGGUUUAAGAACGGAAUGUGCAGAGAACCGCAGAAUCUGCUUUUAAAACCUGCUCUUGGCAGUUUAUACAUCAACAGUGUUGUCAUCUUAUUGUGUUGUAUGGGUUAUGAUGCUCUGUGCUUCUGCUCUUUAUACUUUCAACGGCAUUUUGAUUUAAUUGUGUGUUUCCCAUGAAAAAACUGGAACAUUCUGGGAUGUUCUCAGGAUUAUAUUUGAGCACUGUAAGAUUCUCUUCUCUUUCAAAGCUGUGGUAACACAUGCACACAGAGUAUACUCCAAAUUAUCUGUGAGCAGAUUAUGUUCUUUGCAACUUACCCACGUUCCUUUUAGGAGCACUUGCACCCCUGUGGAGCUCCUGUUAGGUUCACUUCGUCCAUAUUUCUGUUCAUGAAACAAGUCAAAAACUGCUGGUUGGAUUUUAAUGAGGCAUUUACAAAGAAUUGUUAAGUGGUUUAACUGUUUAAUUAGUUUUUUUAACAGCCACUUUAUGUGAAGACCUACAGGCAUAUAUGUGCAUAUCUUGAGCAGAACUUGCUAAAAGUACUUCAAAUGAAAUUUGUAGAGGAAAACAAAUCACACAUUUUAUAUGCAAUACAUUUUUUCAUAAGUCAUAUGUUUCUUAGAUAAGUGGAAAAUUGGACAUUAUGCAUUCAUUUUCAUAUUUCCAUAUUCAACAAUCACCUUGGUCUCCCAGCCACACUGGAAACCUGGAUUAUCCAUGAGGAGUUGUCUUGUGGGAUCUAACACUGUGUAGUCCACUGAAAGUCUUCAACCCUCAGGAUGGAGGCUACAUAUUCCUCUGAAAUGUCAGUUGGCUUUCAACAGACUACAUGGCAUUAUAUCCCAGAAGAUAGAUCUCUUCAUAAUUACUGCUCUGAGAACCUCAAAUCCUACCUGGAUUAUUCAUGUGUCUUUUUCCUUUCAUUAGAAUGGAUAAUCAGGUGCAUGCUGUAUGAAUGUUAUUCAAUAAUAUGUAGGGCUGGAAAGGAGUAUGACAGAAAACAGACAAAGUUUAUAGUACAAAUAAGGAGACUUCCUACAGAAUUCUUUCAAUCUUUUCCUCUGGUUUAAGAUCAUUGACUUCUUUUUUGAUUUCAAAAUAAGAACAAAAGAUAAUAUUGUUGAAAAUAGUAAGAUAAAUUUUGUCAGAGUAUUGUCAAUUCAAUGGGCUGCCGUAACCAGGCAGGUAAGACACCGGAAAAUGUAAAAGUAAGAAACUUCUUUCACAGAGCCUUAUUUACAUCAACUUUUUUUAUGUCCAGAAUACUGUAACUCUGGUGAUAGGCCUGACAGUUAUUCAUCAUGAGAGGAAUUUUUGGAUGGUAGUUUCUGGCACCACUUCUGACAGUGUAACUGCUCUUAGUAAUGCAAACAUUAAUUAAAGUUUGAACCCCUUUACUCAGGGCUGAAGUUUGGUUAACUUAAAUGCCCUUUAUGCAUUAUUGGUUAGUACGUUGAGUAUGUCAGGGGAAUUAAAUAUACUUGGUGCCAUGGUCAGUUCUUGGGGUGGGGUGAGACUGAGUCCACUUGGUACAUUAGUCACUAAUUGGCCUGUUGCACCAGCCCCAGAUGAUAGAUGCUGGUGAAUGUGGAGCAGCUGGUGGAAUGAGAAUUGGCAGGGGAACCAAAGCACUCAGAGGAUACCUUCCCAGUGCCACAUUGUCCACCACAAAUCCUGCAUGUCUGGCCUUGAUUCGAACUCGGGUUGCCUCAGUGGAAGCCGGCAACUCACUGCCUGAGCUAUGGCACAGCCUGCCAUGGUCAGAAUAGGUAAUUAUUCUUAAUUAGACUAUAAUCUUCUGUUUGAGAUUUAGCCAAGGAUUAAAAGUGAGAAAUGUUUUAGCAUCAGUGGUAAUAACAGAAUGACAUGACAGCAACUUUGAAAUUCAGUUGGAACAUUGUUUCUUACACUUGUCACAGAUGGUAUGCAAAAAAGAAAAAGUACCUUUUUUUAUGGAAUGUUAAAAUACAUGUUGCAGAAUAAUUUGAAUUUAUUUUUAUUGUUCUUUGUUAGUAACAUCAGCUACAAUACAGUUUAGUGUUUCUGGCCCUGAAGUGCCACAUUCAGAUUAAUCUAAAUUUUUCUACAGUUUUUCUCUUUUCACUUGUAGUUAACAGUAUAAUUCAACAGCUGACCUGAGAGCAAGUUUUAGUUGUGUGCUGUUAACAUCAGAGCGUUUCAAUUUAUAUUACGUUUGUAAUGUCCAUUCAUUUAACAUUAGACCUAUAUUGCUGACAAAGACUCAUUUCCUGCACAUGUAUAGCUGCCCUCCUGUUGAAGCAAGGUGUGUGUUUUAACUUAAUUAUUCUUACUGUUUAGCCACUGGGGACUUCUCAUGUCAGCUAUGUGGCCACUGUGGGUAUAGGUUCUACAUGAUCUUUGAGUUAAUGUGGUGGCUGGAUAUUGGUCUCUCUCUGUGGGGCAUUAUGUAACCAGUGUGGAUAUCUCAGUCCAGCUGUGAGGCACUAUAUAACCAGUGUGGAUAUCUCAGUCCAGCUGUGUAGCCACUUGUAUAGGUUCAGCUGUGAGGCACUAUAUAACCAGUGUGGAUAUCUUAGUCCAGCUGUGUGACCACUGAUACAGGUUCAGCUGUGAGGCACUAUAUAAACAGCGUGGACAUCUCAGUCCUGCUAUGUCACCACUGAUAUAGGUUCAGCUGUGAGGCACUAUAUAAACAGUGUGGACAUCUCAGUCCAGCUAUGUCACCGCUGAUAUAGGUUCAGCUGUGAGGCACUAUAUAACCAGUGUGGAUAUAUCAGUCCAGCUGUGAGGCACUAUGUAAACAGUAUGGACAUCUCAAUUCAGCUGUGAGGCACUAUGUAAACAGUAUGGACAUCUCAGUUCAGCUGUGAGGCACUGUGUGACUUAUAUGGAUGUAGGCCUCAUUCCAGCUGUCAGAUACUAUGCAGCUAUUGUGGAUAUUAGUCUUGCUACAGCUCUAAUGCACUGUGACCAUGUGGAUGUCCCACUCAACCUGUGUGACUGCUGUAUAUAGAGAUAUCACUUCAGCUGUGAGGCACUGUGUGAUCAGUUUUACUCCAGCUGUGAGGCACUGUAUGGCCACUGUGCAGGUGUGUUCCACUCCAACUUUGAGGCAGUGUGUGGACACUGCAUGUAGAUCUCACUACAGCUAUGAGACACUGUGUAGCCACUAUGCAUGUAGGUUUCAUUGGUGCAAAUAGUGGACCUUCCAUAUAAACAUCUCAGUGGACAAGUCUGUGAGUUGCCUGUUUGUAUCUGUAGUAAUGGGGAUUGAACCCAUGACUACAACACGUUCCUUUAUAAGAGAUGUCCUAUGGAUCUAGUAUACAUUUUACCUUUAGCCCUGUUUUGUACUCUCAAUCUCAGCCCAUCUCUAGCUGUCAACAUCCCCUUAGUGUUCAACCCCAAGAACAGCUUGCCAUGGUUUCUGUUUUUACCAUCAGAGCAGGAUCCUUACUGUUCAUCAGAGAACAUAUGAUUUGUCUGAAAUUUAGAUAAAUUUGGGAACUUUAUGCAUAAAAAAUGCUACCAAAUUUGAAAGUAAGUAUUCAGUCUUGUAUAUAUUGUAGAUUUAAGUCUUUUGACAAUAUGUCUUCUGUGUCUUACCAACAUCUGCCAGAACUUUUAUGUUCACAUAUUAUUUUGUUGCGUAAAACAAUAACUUUUUCUGAUAUGUCUCUUAAGCAUGCCAUUUGAAGGAUCUUAUUUGGUAACAUAUCAGGGUACGUUCUCUGACAUGAAUUAUCAUAUUAUAUAUCAUAGAAUUGUGCCAUU